rnacentral:ncRNA from 1 species
AAAAAUCUAUGUGAAAUAUUUUAUAAUAAAUAAAAUUUUUAUGUUUUAUAAAAUUUAUUAUGAAUUUAUUUUACAUAUAAAUUUUAGUAUAAAAUUUUAAUUAUUUUAAAAAUAAAUUAAUUUUAAGUGUUAUAGUAAUUUAAAUUAAAAAUUUAAGAAAUUAAGAUUUAGUAAUAUAAAAAUUAAUAACUAAUUUUGUGCCAGCAGUUGCGGUUAUACAAAAAUUAAAUUAAAUUAUUUCAGUAUUUAAUAAAUAAAAUAUAAUUAAAAUAAAUAUUAAAUUAUUAGGUGAAAUUUUAAUUUAAUUAAAUUUUAAAUUAAUUUUAUGAUUUAAUAAAUUUAAUAAUAAACUAGGAUUAGAUACCCUAUUAUUAAAAAUUUAACUAAUAAUACUAAAAUAGUAGAUAAUAAAUAUUGAAACUUAAAUAAUAUGGCGGUAUUUUAGUUCAUUUAGAGGAAUCUGUUUAAUAAUUGAUAAUCCACGAAUAAAUUUACUUAAUUUAAUAUUUUAUAUAUCGUUGUUAAAAAAAUAUUUUAUUAUAAAAAUAAUAUUUUAAAAUUUUAAAAGUAAAUUAAUUCAGAUCAAGAUGUAGAUUAUAAUUAAGAAUAUAAUGGAUUACAAUAAAAUAAUUUAAAUGAAUAAUUAAUUUUAAAAUUAAUUUGAAGGUGGAUUUAAAUGUAAUUUUAAUUAAUUUAUUAAAAUGAUUAAAAAUUGAAAUAUGUACAUAUUGCCCGUCACUUUCAUUUAAAAAUUGAAAUAAGUCGUAACAAAGUAGAAGUACUGGAAAGUGUUUCUAGAAUGAA